UGAGGAAUAUUGGACAAUGGGCGCAAGCCUGAUCCAGCAAUGCCGCGUGCAGGAUGAAGGCCUUCGGGUUGUAAACUGCUUUUGUACGGAGCGAAAAGGUCUGCCCUAAUACGGUGGGCUCAUGACGGUACCGUAAGAAUAAGCACCGGCUAACUACGUGCCAGCAGCCGCGGUAAUACGUAGGGUGCGAGCGUUAAUCGGAAUUACUGGGCGUAAAGCGUGCGCAGGCGGUUAUAUAAGACAGAUGUGAAAUCCCCGGGCUCAACCUGGGACCUGCAUUUGUGACUGUAUAGCUAGAGUACGGUAGAGGGGGAUGGAAUUCCGCGUGUAGCAGUGAAAUGCGUAGAUAUGCGGAGGAACACCGAUGGAGAAGGCAAUCCCCUGGACCUGUACUGACGCUCAUGCACGAAAGCGUGGGGAGCAAACA
rnacentral:rRNA from 1 species